CGGCACGGGUGAGUAACACGUAUCCAACCUGCCGUCUACUCUUGGACAGCCUUCUGAAAGGAAGAUUAAUACAAGAUGGCAUCAUGAGUCCGCAUGUUCACAUGAUUAAAGGUAUUCCGGUAGACGAUGGGGAUGCGUUCCAUUAGAUAGUAGGCGGGGUAACGGCCCACCUAGUCUUCGAUGGAUAGGGGUCUGAGAGGAAGGUCCCCCACAUUGGAACUGAGACACGGUCCAA
rnacentral:rRNA from 1 species